UACGUAGGGUGCAAGCGUUGUCCGGAAUUAUUGGGCGUAAAGAGCUCGUAGGCGGCUCGUCGCGUCGGCUGUGAAAACCUGGGGCUCAACCCCGGGCCUGCAGCCGAUACGGGCGAGCUAGAAUUCGGUAGGGGAGACUGGAAUUCCUGAUGUAGCGGUGAAAUGCGCAGAUAUCAGGAGGAACACCGGUGGCGAAGGCGGGGUCUCUGGGCCGAUAUUGACGCUGAGGAGCGAAAGCGUGGGGGAGCGAACAGG
rnacentral:rRNA from 1 species